rnacentral:lncRNA from 1 species
UAUAUAUAUAUAUAUAUAUAAAUUUGUAUGAUUUGUCUCAUAUUUGAUUUUUAAAUUUAUUUAAAUUUUGAAUUAUGAUAAUCAAUUUGUUUUUUUUUUUGAGAGAGAUAGGUAGCACGCUACCCGCUUCGUUUAUUUUAUUUAGAAAUAAACUUAGCUGAAUAUGUGAAUCAACUAGAAUUCGAACUUGAGUCUCGGGUACCAACCACCAAGCCAUUUGCCACUUGCUCUAGGAACGGUCGGUGAUAAUCAAUCGGUCGGUGAUAAUCAAUUUGUUUAUAUGUCAUAAUAUCAAUUAUUGAUCUAUCGAUCAUGAAUGCCAGUUUAAAAGUGACGUGGGUCGCAAGAGUGCUACCUACUGCAGCAACAAAAGAAUGCUUUUUUUUUUUUUUGACAAAUAAGAAUAAUAUAUUUCAACAGAGCAAAUUAUACAUAUAAAUGUAUAUGUAUGAUUAUUAGUAAAUUUUAAUUUAAUGAUUUUCUGGAAUUUUUGUAUAAUGUUACAGAUUAUUGGUCUGACAUAGUAGGGAGAGUAGAUCUAGUAGCGACAUCGUAAAAUUUAUGCGAAUAAGAAUAAAAUGUUGUAGGGAUAAAAGAAUACAGAUAAGAAAUUAUCUUUAUGAUAGAUACUCUCUCUAGUUUACCGCAUUUUUGUUUUAAUAUUUCGUCAUUUUAUUAUGUCACUUAAGAUUAUUAUUUCUAUUUUUUUGCUUUUUGUUAGCAUCCUGCUAUCUUUUCCGUUAAAAUCAUCAUGUGCUGUACACGC